GAUGAACGCUAGCUACAGGCUUAACACAUGCAAGUCGAGGGGCAGCGGGAGUUGAAGCUUGCUUCAAUUGCCGGCGACCGGCGCACGGGUGAGUAACGCGUAUCCAACCUUCCGGUACACUCAGGGAUAGCCUUUCGAAAGAAAGAUUAAUACCUGAUGGUAUGAUGAGAUUGCAUGAUAGCAUCAUUAAAGAUUUAUCGGUGUACGAUGGGGAUGCGUUCCAUUAGGUAGUAGGCGGGGUAACGGCCCACCUAGCCUACGAUGGAUAGGGGUUCUGAGAGGAAGGCCCCCCCACAUUGGAACUGAGACACGGUCCAAACUCCUACGGGAGGGCAGCAGUGAGGAAUAUUGGGUCAAUGGGCGAGAGCCUGAACCAGCCAAGUAGCGUGAAGGAUGAAGGUCCUACGGAUUGUAAACUUCUUUUAUACGGGAAUAAAGUAUCCUACGUGUGGGAGCUUGUAUGUACCUUAUGAAUAAGCAUCGGCUAACUCCGUG
rnacentral:rRNA from 1 species